AGAGGGAGGUAUUAGAGGAAUAACACACUUCAGCACAUGCUACUGUAGGAAAAUAAAUAACUUUAAGUGGGAAUAAUAACACCGCUUCAAGUGACACAGCAUCCCACCACCCUGCCCUUGAUUAUUUUCCUAUAACAGCAUGCCCCCAAGUGGUUUAUUCCUUACUGAAUCUGUCACUGAGCUCCUCUGCUUCUGUGCUAUUUGUGGUAAAAGUCCAAGAGUUCAUGUAUUUUAUCAGAAAUAUGCAACAGCAGUUUAUUAUGAAUAUAGGACCUAGUUACUGUUGUUUUAUGGCUUGAGAGGGCAGUCUGUGUAAACUAAACCAUCUCUAACUGCUCAUUAAUACACAUUCAGCUUCUCUCUCCUCACAGACUGCAAUGAUUCACCAUCAUCUCACUCACAUUAAACAACUGAAAGAUAAUCGCUCUUUGUUGCAAACAUGAUCAUAGUAUUAUUGUGUUUUUCAUUACACUUCUCUGCAUAGGGAAUAAUAAAUAACUCUAAAUACUUUAAAUUAUAUCCUCAUUCACGAAGCUUUAAGAACAGACAAGUGGUUGGCAUGAGCUCCUGACUGAAAGAGUCAGUGAUGAUUGUGACCUGCAUUAUUUCUGGAACAACAUUCAGUUUCUAUUCGAUACAGUUUCUGAAAUAUUUGUGUUGUUCAGUGAUUAUCAGUGAUCUGAAAACUUCAUGUUCUUCUGGGUGUUACAGUGAUACACAGUGAUGCACUAAAAGAACAUGAUAUCUAAUGAGUAAAGAGCAGUUAUGGACUUGACAGCAUGAAACACAGCUGGAGUCUUACAGUGAGCUUUUUCUCUUCAUGGCUAUUCCUCUGGGAAUCGUUUUAUGUCUCUAGUGGGCGUGCCAUGCAAACCAAAUCCUGUGUUUGAACCAUUUAUGCUGAUAUACAUUCAGCUCAACAACAUACCAGCAGUUUGUGUUCAUUUACAGCAACAGUGAUCAUUUUAAUUCUUUGAGAUGGGACUAGGCAGAGUUUUGAGUUACUUUACUCUAACAAUGUUCAUUCAAUAUUCCUGCAGUCAGACAUUGAUCGAGUCUGAUUCAGUCAUCAUCAAACCUGAUCAGUCUCAUAAACUGACCUGCACAGCAUCUGGAUUUAACUUUGGUAGCUACUGGAUGGCUUGGAUCAGACAGGCUCCUGGAAAAGGACUGGAAUUUGUUGCAACUAUUGAGUAUGAUAGUGCUAACAAGUAUUACUCCAGCGCAGUUAAAGGCCGCUUCACUGUCUCCAGAGACAACAGUAAGCUGCAGGUGUAUCUGCACAUGAACAGCGUGAGGACAGAAGACACAGCUGUGUAUUACUGCGCCUGACACACACAGUGAUACUUCUCCUUAGACAUCAGUACAAAAACACACGCUUGCUAUAGUCACAUGACAAGCUCACAUUUUCAUUAGCAGUGUAUUCAUGGAGCUCAAAGAACCAAAAUGUUUUGACUUUUACUGCAUGUGGCUUAUUGUGAACAUUGUCUGGACAUUUAUGCUGGUAUAAGAUUACUUAGG